UACGUAGGUGGCAAGCGUUGUCCGGAUUUACUGGGCGUAAAGGGCGUGCAGGCGGUUUGUUAAGUGCAGGGUGAAAGCUCCCGGCUCAACUGGGAGAGGUCCUUGCAUACUGGCAAACUCGAGGGAGGCAGAGGAAAGUGGAAUUCCCGGUGUAGUGGUGAUAUGCGUAGAUAUCAGGAGGAACACCGGUGGCGAAGGCGCACAUCUGGCCCGAUACUGACGCUGAAGCGCGAAAGCUAGGGGAGCAAACGGG
rnacentral:rRNA from 1 species